rnacentral:lncRNA from 1 species
AUUAUAUAUACCUUUUUCGUGAAACGAGAAUCCUCAUUCAAGACAAAAUAAAAAUAAUAAAGUAUAAUUAAUAAAACGAAAGACUGCAAUAUCCUCUCAAAUAGUGUAACAUACUCUUCCAAAUAAUACAAUAUCUAUAUAAGUAGUGCAAUAUAUGCAUUAUUAAUACACAUUUUGCGUGAUUUUUACACUAAAUUAUGUAUAGUUUAGUAUAUUACGCAAAAAUAAUAUAAUAUAUUACAAUUUGCUAUAAAAGUAAUACAAUAUAUGUAUAAAUAGUGCAUAUUUUACACUAUUUGUACAGAUAUUUAUACCAUUUGUGUAAAUGUAGCACUAUAUUAUGAGAGGAUGUUGCACAAUUUAGAUGUGUGUUAUACUAUUUCUUUUUAAAAAUUAAAUGUUAUUGCAUAUUAAAUAAAAUUUUAAAUUUUUUGAAGUUGUCACAAUAUCUAUAUAAAUAAUGCAACAUAUGCAUUGUUUAUACACAUUUUGCAUGAUUUUUAUACUAAAUUAUGUAUAGUUUAAUAUAUUACGCGAAAAUAAUAUAUUAUAUAUUACAAUAUACUAUAAAAAUAAACAAUAUAUGUAUUAAUGAUGCAUAUUUUACACUAUUUGUACAGAUAUUUACACCAUUUGUGUAAUGUUGCACUAUAUUAUGAGUGGAUGUUACACAAUUUAGAUAUGUGUUACACUCUUUCUUUUUAAAAAUUAAAUGUUAUUGCAUAUUAAAUAAAAUUUUAAAUUUCUUGAAAAUGACAACUUCUAAACCAUAAUUACAUAUACAUUUUUCGUGAAACGAGAAUUGUCAUUCAAAACAAAAUAAAAAGAAUAAAAUAUAAUUAAUAAUACGAAAGAGUGCAACAUCCUCUCAAAUAGUGCAACAUGCUCUUCCAAAUAAUACAAUAUCUAUAUAAGUAGUGUAACAUAUAUAUACAUUGUUAAUACAUAUUUUACAUGAUUUUUAUACUAAAUAAUGUAUAGUUUAACAUAUAUAUACAUUGUUAAUACACAUUUUACAGAGUCUCCCCUAUACGUCCAAGGCAUCACAAUACAUACAAAGCGCGAGGUUCCAACCAGGAACAAUAUUCAAACAAGGAUUGCAUAAGGAAGUAUCAAAAACAUAAAUACAGCUAAGUUAUUACAAUCAUUCAACUCACAUUCUAUAUUUUACAUCACAUUUUACAUUCUUUAAGUCUCUUUUUAUCUUCCAAAUACAAUCAAGUUUCCAACAUAAUUAUUACAACAUUGAUCAUUUCAUUCCUAUACCCCUAAACUAAGCCGACUUAGGGUACUGCUAUCUCUGGUCUCGAUGGUAGUGCGCUAACUACGGAGCUACGCCCUUUCCUCGCGUCGCUGCGCCGCUCACGUGUGACCCCCAAAAACAACACGGGGGUGAGAACUAUUGUCCAUAGUUUCCAGUGGGUACGGCCACCCAAGGGAAAAGCUUGACCCACCAGGUCCAAAGGAGGCACUGCAAACAUGUUAGUCCAACAGAUAUCCACAGAUAAUAUUUAUGCAAAUAUU